rnacentral:sRNA from 1 species
UACUCUUGUAUUGAGGGUUACUGAGCCUGGCUGAGGAGAAUGUGUCACCAGAGCAGCACAGAGGCAGGGGUGGACCAGCAGUUACAUCGAGGUAGAUCCUUGUGUUAACAGGAAAAACACUUGGAGUCUCCAACACCACUGCUAUCCAGGCAUCCAUUCAUUCAAUUGAAGUGAUCGAAUCCAGGAUAGGACCAGCAGCCCCAGUAGUCCUGGGAGGUCAGUCAGAGAUCGGGACCAGGAAGCUUUUACUGCAGGGCCUCUCUGGAGUGUGGAUGGGAUUCUGGGAUUACUCAGCCCCUAAGAGCAUGGGGACUACAUGGAUGCAGAGAUGAUAACCUUCAUGGUCUUUUAGAGCUGGAGGUAAGUGUUGAAUUGGCCAUCUCUUUCCCUCCUUACAUCUUAUACACAGAGAGAACUGAGGUUCAGAGGAGUGAACUCAGUGCUGGCAUCAGCUAGUUUGAUCAUAACCAGGAGUAGAGCUCAGGUCUCCAGGUCCUGAGCCUGUGUCCUCUACCCCACAUCUACUUCCCUAAACUUCUUCCCAGAGGCCUUCUGAAGGUGGGUGGGGGUGGGGAGUUGACUCCUCAGGCACGUGGAGAUCAUCUCACUAAAAUUGAGAUUACAGCACCGUUUCCCCAGGCAGCAUGGGUGUGCUACCUUUUACUGUAGGGAGGCCUCUACCAGGCAUUCUGCUACAGCCGAGCACCUAGCCUCUAUCUUGUUUCCAUCAACAUAAUCUGUUCGCAACAUGAGAUUGGGCUUUUCCCUGGCCCCUUAUCACUAAUAGGAUCAGCGGAUUCUGCAGGAUGUGGGGAGCUGCAGUGAGCAUGCUCAGUCGGGGAAGCCGCUGUCUCAGAAACCGCAGCUCAGCUGGGUAUACACCAAGCUUUUGUAUUCAGGAGAGGAGAGUUCACCAGGAUUCGUCUCUCUCUCCUGGACCGCUUUAGCUCAGGCUGUAGCUCUAACUCAAAGCCCUGUCAACCAGAGGACGGUUUGGUUAGUGCCUCGUAGAGCCUCCACCGAGUCGUCGCCAUCUUACUUUUGGAAGCUUCUCUCAUCAUAUAUAACAUUUAUCUCACUUUAGGCCGUCAAUGUGUUUGCCAUAGGCACUUCUGGCUUGUACCUGAUAAAGAAGUCUCACACGGGAAAGGAAGAAGCCGAAUGGAGCUCCCACUUCGGGUCUGCUGCUUGUUAGCUGUGCACCCUUGGUUUUUUAGGACUGGGCUUUGAAAUGUCUUCACUUCUGGAAGGCUCUUCCCCACUGACCCCACCCAGGACUUCCGCUCAUAGGAUGGCACUACCUGUAUUAAGGGCACAUCUUUCCUCCUCAGAGAAAUCAGGGAAGUAACUCAAGGCAGGAUCCUGGAGGCGGGGGCUGAAGGAGUGCGGUUUACUUCCUUGCUUCUCGUGGUGAGUCUCGGUUUCCUCUUUCUCUUCCUUUUCCUGUUUAUAUUUGUAAAGUAGAUAAAAACGCUUCUUAGUUUAUAGGCUGUAGAAAGCAUGUGCGGGCUGGAUUAGGGACAAGCCAAAGGUUGCUGGACCCCGUCUCAAUGGAUUGAGUUUGUUUCUGAGGGAUGUUGGAGUAAAGUCUCAUAAACAGUGGAGCCUGAAAUAUUACAGAUUUAUUGCUUCUCCAUUCUGGAGGCAAGAGAAUUCUGGAGGCCACAGCAUUGGCAGCCCUGUGCUUCCUGCAGAACAGCAGGGGUGCCCUUCCCCACUUCUGUUUAGCUUAUGGUGGACCCUGGCUUUCAGUGAUGUCCUUGACUGAAGCUGUGUUACUCCAAUCCUGGGUGUCCGUUCUCACAUAGUCUUCUCCUUGUGCCUGUGUUUGCCCAUGGUCACUUCUGGUAAGGACACCAGCUACAUUGGAGGGGGAACUUACCGUGCUCCAGGGUGAUCUUAUCUUAACAUAUGGUAUCUGCAGCAUUUCUACUUUCAUAUAAGGUCACAUUCUGAGUCUUAAGGGGUAGAAUCACACAAUACAUAGUUUUUAUUUGGAUGGGACACAGGGGAGUUAGAUUCAACUUAUCACUUAAUAACACCAAUCAAUUUGGGACUAAUAAUACAGAAGUCUUUUCAGUGUUUAAUAUUGUUCUAAACGAAUCAAUAUGUAACAUUCUUACAAACUUAAAGCAAUCCUUAUUUAUCCACUAAUGUAAUUUAAAAUUUGUCUUGCUUGUUAAGCCCAGGGGACUUAUGUUUAUGUUCUUAAGUGAACUUGGUCUUUAGGUUUCUAAACUAAUGUUUUAUUGUAUCCAAACAAUAGGUAGCUUAGAUUUCCGUGCUUGUCUGUGCGUGGGGAUAGUUUUCACAUCCUAUGAAUUAUUAUCCUGGGAAAAUCUGAAAGAAGUCAGCAGUAAUACUCUCCGGUCUUAAGGCCUUUUGCAUUUAUUUAUCAAUGUGAAAAAGAUUUUUCUAAUUCUGGAUUUAGUCCUUAGUUACAGCUCCAUCUCUCCUUGUGGGUGGCCAUAUCUGAAUCAACAGGGCAAUUGCUUGGAGGUUCACAAAUGCCCUCAUGCACUGGUUGCCAUACAAAGUAGACAAGGGCUCCCAACUGAAUAUGAGAGCAAAGAUAGUUGAUUAUGAGUGAUCGCUUCAGGGGAGUAAGUGGUGUGAGGCACAGGUCUGGCCCGUGCCAUGGCCAUCCCACAUCCUGAAGUGAUGGUGCAGUGAGACCGUGCUCAGGGAAGUGACUGUGCUGUUAUUCUAUUAGCAGAUAGUGCCACCAGAAGUCACUGAGGUGAAGUGACCACAGCUGUCCUCAGACAUAGACUGUAGAACCCGACAAUCUAUGCAGUCACUUUACAGCUUGGCACACCGAGGGCUCACACGUCUCUCCUCCACUCCCACAGUGUUUCAUGCCCCUCACAAGUCCGGAGGGACACCUGUUUCCAUUGGGCACCUGCAGGUACUAUAGCCAGAGUGACCCACUGAAAAUGGGAUACUGGCUGUUCUUUGGAGCUGCUGGAACCAACAUGCUUUUCCAUAUGCUUGGACCUUCUUGCGAUUCCUCCAUCUGUUUCUGGGAAAUGUGAAAAAAAAUGUAAUGAUCUUUUCUGGGGUUAUUAAACCGACAGCUGUUGUCAUUAAUAGAGGACAUUCUUCACUGCGGUGAGCAAACGCUAGUCAUAACUCCAGCCUGUCGUUUGCGCUCUCAGUAAUGACUAGUGCAUUUGUCUCAAGACCAGGGUUAUGAACACCAGGGAUUCUAACGCCAGCUUUGAACAUGAUUCAUCUUCGAAGCAUGGGCGCCCUCAGUUCUUUUUUUGUAUUGCAGGCAGCUUUCGAGGCAAAAAAAUGUAUAAUUGGCAAAAACAAAAUCCAAUCUCCAAGCCAUUGGCUUUCUUUGAAAAUGAAGGAGUCUGGGUGCUAAAAAGCCAAGAUUACAUUUUACUGUGUGUUUCAAAUUAUGGCUCAUUUUUGGGUGGAAUGUUAGCGGCAGAGAGAAACCAGCGUUUACAGUUUGAAUUGAAGAUUUUUUCCCCCUUUACUGUCACAGUUAGAAAGUAGGAGGCAGGGCUGAGUGUCACAGCAAAUAGGGAAGAGAAGGCUGAACAAGACACCUCCCCAUCCCGCCCUGGUCUUCUUCUGCCCCAAGGGCAGAAUGGGUCUCACUGCCUUGAGGUGUGGUCUUUGGGGUUCAUAGAUCCCAAUAGCAGGGGCAUGGCUUUCCUGCUUUGUCAGGAGGCAGUUUGUGAUGCGCAAAGCAGGGAAGGCAGUGAAGAAUCUGGAUGUCCUUAUCCUGGUAGCUCCUGAGUCUGCCCUUGAAAUCAGGUUCUUAACUGGGCUCCGAUGGUGCCGGGCAGAUAGACCUCUAUGGAGGACCCAUUCUGGUAAUAAGUAGGGGUGCGAAUGGCCAGCGAUGAGAUGGACCCCAGAAGAGCGACCCUUACAGUCAUGGUGACAGUGGACAGUGGACUUGAGUCCCCAGUGUUCUUUCUAUAUCUGAGGCCACGCACCCCUGAGGUGGAAGUGGGCACUUAGAUGUUUGCUCUGCAUCCUGGAUCAGACAGAUCUGAGUUUGAUCUAACAGCUAGGUCUAACAGCUAGGACAUUAGGACCAAUGUCAAUCUUUGUUGGAAGCCCUGUCUGUUAAAGGGUGUGAAAAGUCAAAACCCAGGGUCGGAGGUGUGGUCCGAUGGUUCAGAGGACCAGAGUUUGAGCCCCGGCUCCGAGGUUGGGUAGCUGACAGCUGCUUGUGAAACUCCAGCUAUAGUGGAUAUGAUAGCCCCAACCUGCACUGCACACUCACGUACACAACCCCUGCCCUCCCCACACUACAUGUAAUUGAAAAUAAAACUGUAAUAAAUCUAAAAAAAUCACCCCAAGGCAGAAAGUGGCGUGCUUAGCAGAUGGGGGAUGAAAGAGACAACAAGGGAGGGGAUGACUGGCACAUAAGGUCAUUGUCGUUAAGCUCCCCUUGUAGUGAUGGGAUCUGCUCUAUUUGUCCUCUUUUUCUCCACCCACUGGAAGGGCUUAGAGUAUUUGAAUAGGCCUGGGAUUCUAGCGGAGCCUGGGGAUCUGCCCCGACCACUGAGCCAUACCUCACACUUCAGUCUAGUGGGGAGAAAAGCACUGGCCAAAAGACACUGAUGAGUAUGGGUCCUGCAGGGUGCUACUGGGGAGCAGAGGAGUGGAACCCAACCAAGUGUUGGCAUGGAUCAGAGAAGGUUGCCUGGAGGGUGAGACAUACCAUCUUUGUGCUAAAGACAAGCAGACUUCACCCAGCCUGCAGAGGGUGGAAAACAGUUUAAGCAGAGAUGUGGCAGAAGUACAAGUGUUCCCACUCCAAUCCCCCCAGCCUGAAGCUGGGGUGUAGUGGGGAGUCAGGAAAAGCAAGGGGUGUGCGUGUGCAUAUGCCUGUGCAUGCAUGUGUGUGCGUGCGUGUGUGCGUGCAUGUGUGUGUG